UGGGGAAUAUUGCACAAUGGGCGCAAGCCUGAUGCAGCCAUGCCGCGUGUGUGAAGAAGGCCUCGGGUUGUAAAGCACUUUCAGCGAGGAGGAAGGUGGUGAGCUUAAUACGCUCAUCAAUUGACGUUACUCGCAGAAGAAGCACCGGCUAACUCCGUGCCAGCAGCCGCGGUAAUACGGAGGGUGCAAGCGUUAAUCGGAAUUACUGGGCGUAAAGCGCACGCAGGCGGUUUGUUAAGUCAGAUGUGAAAUCCCCGGGCUCAACCUGGGAACUGCAUUUGAAAACUGGCAAGCUAGAGUCUCGUAGAGGGGGGUAGAAUUCCAGGUGUAGCGGUGAAAUGCGUAGAGAUCUGGAGGAAUACCGGUGGCGAAGGCGGCCCCCCUGGANGAAGACUGACGCUCAGGUGCGAAAAGGCGUGGGGGCAGCAAAACAGGAUUAGAUACCCUGGUAGUCCACGCUGUAAAACGAUGUCGAUUUUGGAGG
rnacentral:rRNA from 1 species